AAACCAACUGGGAUUACCUUAGUAACGGCGAGUGAAGCGGUAAAAGCUCAAAUUUGAAAUCUGGUACUUUCAGUGCCCGAGUUGUAAUUUGUAGAAUUUGUCUUUGAUUAGGUCCUUGUCUAUGUUCCUUGGAACAGGACGUCAUAGAGGGUGAGAAUCCCGUUUGGCGAGGAUACCUUUUCUCUGUAAGACUUUUUCGAAGAGUCGAGUUGUUUGGGAAUGCAGCUCAAAGUGGGUGGUAAAUUCCAUCUAAAGCUAAAUAUUGGCGAGAGACCGAUAGCGAACAAGUACAGUGAUGGAAAGAUGAAAAGAACUUUGAAAAGAGAGUGAAAAAGUACGUGAAAUUGUUGAAAGGGAAGGGCAUUUGAUCAGACAUGGUGUUUUGCGCCCUUUGCUCCUUGUGGGCGAGGAUACGCAGCUCACUGGGCCAACAUCAGUUUUGGGAGCAGGAUAAAUCUGUAGGAACGUAGCUUUCUCGGGAAUGUUAUAGCCUAUGGGAAUACUGCUACCUGGGA
rnacentral:rRNA from 1 species